rnacentral:rRNA from 1 species
UACGAAGGGUGCAAGCGUUAAUCGGAAUUACUGGGCGUAAAGGGUGCGUAGGCGGUUCGUUAAGUCUGUCGUGAAAUCCCCGGGCUCAACCUGGGAAUGGCGAUGGAUACUGGCGAGCUAGAGUGUGUCAGAGGAUGGUGGAAUUCCCGGUGUAGCGGUGAAAUGCGUAGAGAUCGGGAGGAACAUCAGUGGCGAAGGCGGCCUGCUGGGCUGUUGCUGACGCUGAGACACGAAAGCCAGGGGAGCGAACGGG